CCGGCAGCAGGAGGAGGAGGAGGAGGAGGAGGAGGAAGAAGAGGAGGAGGAGACGGCCUUCUUCCCUCCCGCCGCCCAGCGCGGAGGCAGGUUGAGCCGCGGCGAGGCUGGGAGGCCGGCGGCGGAGGCUCGGCGGAGUCCCGGGAGCCGAGGAGGGCUCGGAGCAGCGAGCGGCUCGGCGGCGGGGCAGGUGGCGGCAGCCGAGCGGCGCUCCAGGACUGAGAGCGGAGGCCGGGAGGAGGAGCCCGGCCUCGGCGCCUCCCCGAGCCGGCCCCCCCGGGGAGGAGAGGGGUGGGUUCGGCUCCCAGACCCCCCAGGCCGGGCGGGGAGGUGCUGCCGAGCUGUCAUCCACAAGGACCAGAAUGAAGAGCAGGGAAAGGCUGAGCCAGAGAUAACAGAAGGAAAGCACAAGGUCUUUGUGGCUGAAAAUUCAGGCAGUCACCAGGAGGAGCCCUGAUGUUAGUGGGAGUACUUGAGCCUUGGGACUCAGGGAACAUGAGGUAGAGGUAUGGAGGAAAACGCGGCGUUAGGCUCCUCUGUAUGCAAGGUUUUAGCAGAACUGAAGAUGGUCUGAUGUUCUUUCAUCCUGCUGUGAUGGAUUAGACCAACAGGUACGUGCUUAACCUCCCUGGCAAGUUUGUCUGUUGUUUUAACAGCAGGCUGGGCUUUUUCACUUUAGGUACGCUUACAUGCACAGAAUUGAUUCUGUGAUGGCUGGUCUUUCAGCAAGUAACUGGAACCUUCAUGUAAGAAGAGAAGAUAGAGUCCUUUUUCUUUAUGAAUCUUUUCACAGGCGUGGACUAUCUUGGUAGUUAGCUUUGUUAUUUCACAGUUGUGGAACGUGUCAUGAUGUCUGAAUAACUGCAAUUACUGCUCACCUUGUUCUCUGUGCUUUGAUUAAAAUGCUUUUAGGUAUUUUGCAAAAUCCUAAGAUAAAGACUGAUAUGCAAACAACAUCCCUGAGGUAAAUGGCAGUAAAUGUUCUGUAUGACAUGCUUUGUUUGUGAGGUGCUCAGAUAACACCGUGAUUAGUGCCUGGGUAGACAGAUGGGUUUUGAAUGUUUUUCUCUGAUCCUUUACACAGUUAGAUCUUAUAUUUUUAGAAUUGAUUUGAGAUCAGGUAGGACUAUUCAAGCACUAAAGGUUUGAGAGAGGUUGUACUGUUCUAGUGUCACAAAGGCAGGUAAAAUGCAGAAGAACAGUGAGGGCUAAACUGAAUUUACCAUGACAAAUAGCAAAUUGCUUAUGAGUCUAGAUCAUAUAUGGAAUGAAAAUGCACUGUUUGGGCUGAAAAAGAACAUUCAAUUUGUCCUUCUUCAGUCAAUCUCUAAUAGAAGCAAGAGUUUAUCUGUGGGAAUUCCUGGACAAUUGGUUGUGUGGCAGGAAGGCUUUCUGCUUCCAUGUGAGUAAGGUGGAUCUGAGGUUGCUGCUUUCCUUUUGCAGAUCCAGUCUAACAGUGAAGAUCUAGGAAGGAGUCCCCCUAGGAUGGCAGAUUUAGAGCUUUCAUUAUAGGGACAUUUCUCAGAAUGAAGAAGGAAAAUCAGAAAAUCAGUGCAGGAGAAGAAUAAGGAACAGCAUAAAAUUAACUCAGAUACUUCAGCUUUAUUGAUAAUAUGGGCAGAGGGUGUAAUAAAGAUAGUUGGCUCCUCUGUCUAUUCA
rnacentral:lncRNA from 1 species